rnacentral:rRNA from 1 species
CGUAGGGAGCAAGCGUUGUCCGGAAUCAUUGGGCGUAAAGCGCGCGUAGGUGGCCUCAUAAGUCCGCUGUGAAAGUCAAAGGCUCAACCUUUGAAAGCCGGUGGAUACUGUGAGGCUAGAGUACGGAAGAGGCGAGUGGAAUUCCUGGUGUAGCGGUGGAAUGCGCAGAUAUCAGGAGGAACACCAAUAGCGAAGGCAGCUCGCUGGGACGUUACUGACACUGAGGCGCGAAAGCGUGGGGAGCGAACAGG